rnacentral:hammerhead_ribozyme from 1 species
AUCCAAUUGACGAGUCUUAAAUAGGACGAAACGUGCGUCAAACUAAAU